rnacentral:misc_RNA from 1 species
CUUGGUCGAAGGGUCUAUCUGUUGCUGGCGUCUCUCUCUCUCUAUCAUCCAAUCGCUCCCAUAUUGAAAGCCGUCGAACCCUAAAUUUUUAGGAUAAGGCGCCCAAUUCUAACUUAAUAAAACGCAUAACCAAUUUAAUUUAGUACUCGUACGAGCUAUCAAUUAUCGGCGUGAAAUGGCACAUUCAUUGGUCUCCUCUUCGGCUUCUUCUCUCGGAUUCAGUUCACUUGCCUUCUCUCCAAACCCUAGCACCAAUCUCGAGUCUCAGAAGCAUUCCCUCCCCUUCGAGCCACUUCAGUCCAGGAAAUUGAGAAAGUUAAGUAGUUCUAGAAAGAACUUUCAGCUAUCUCCAAAGGCCGUUUACUCUGGUGAGUUUUGGGCACCUGA